rnacentral:rRNA from 1 species
GAUGAACGCUGGCGGCGUGCCUAAUACAUGCAAGUCGAGCGAAUGGAUUAAGAGCUUGCUCUUAUGAAGUUAGCGGCGGACGGGUGAGUAACACGUGGGUAACCUGCCCAUAAGACUGGGAUAACUCCGGGAAACCGGGGCUAAUACCGGAUAACAUUUUGAACCGCAUGGUUCGAAAUUGAAAGGCGGCUUCGGCUGUCACUUAUGGAUGGACCCGCGUCGCAUUAGCUAGUUGGUGAGGUAACGGCUCACCAAGGCAACGAUGCGUAGCCGACCUGAGAGGGGGAGCGGCCACACUGGGACUGAGACACGGCCCAGACUCCUACGGGAGGCAGCAGUAGGGAAUCUUCCGCAAUGGACGAAAGUCUGACGGAGCAACGCCGCGUGAGUGAUGAAGGCUUUCGGGCCGUGAAACUCUGUUGUUAGGGAAGAACAAGUGCUAGUUGAAUAAGCUGGCACCUUGACGGUACCUAACCAGAAAGCCACGGCUAACUACGUGCCAGCAGCCGCCGUAA